rnacentral:rRNA from 1 species
CCUACGGGUGGCUGCAGUGGGGAAUAUUGGGCAAUGGGCGCAAGCCUGACCCAGCAACGCCGCGUGAAGGAAGAAGGCUUUCGGGUUGUAAACUUCUUUUGUCAGGGACGAAGCAAGUGACGGUACCUGACGAAUAAGCCACGGCUAACUACGUGCCAGCAGCCGAGGUAAUACGUAGGUGGCAAGCGUUAUCCGGAUUUAUUGGGUGUAAAGGGCGUGUAGGCGGGAAUGCAAGUCAGAUGUGAAAACUAUGGGCUCAACCCAUAGCCUGCAUUUGAAACUGUAUUUCUUGAGUGCUGGAGAGGCAAUCGGAAUUCCUGGUGUAGCGGUGAAAUGCGUAGAUAUUAGGAAGAACACCAGUGGCGAAGGCGGCUUUCUGGACUGAAACUGACGCUGAGGCACGAAAGCGUGGGGAGCGAACAGGAUUAGAUACCCCUGUAGUC